GCGGGUGUAACUCAGCGGUAGAGUGUCACCUUGCCAAGGUGAAAGUCGCGAGUCCGAAUCUCGUCACCCGCUCCA
rnacentral:tRNA from 1 species